rnacentral:rRNA from 1 species
GACGAACGCUGGCGGCGUGCCUAAUACAUGCAAGUAGGACGCAGUUGCGAACGGGUGAGUAACGCGUAGGUAACUACCUAUUAGAGGGGGAUAACUAUUGGAAACGAUAGCUAAUACCGCAUACUAGUAGAUGGACCUGCGUUGUAUUAGCUAGUAGGUCGGGUAAUGGCCUACCUAGGCAACGAUACAUAGCCGACCUGGAGGGGUGGUCGGCCAAACUGGGACUGAGGACCGGCCCCAAAUCCUACGGGAGGCAGCAGUAGGGAAUUGUCGGAAAUGGGGGGAACCCUGACCGAGCAACUCCGCGGUGGUUAAGAAGGUUUUCGGAUCGUAAAGCUCUGUUGUUAAGGGAGCGGUACUUAACCAGAAAGGGACGGCUAACUACGUGCCAGCAGCCGCGGUAAUUC